rnacentral:rRNA from 1 species
AUUGAACGCUGGCGGCAUGCCUUACACAUGCAAGUCGAACGGUAACAGGUCUUCGGAUGCUGACGAGUGGCGAACGGGUGAGUAAUACAUCGGAACGUGCCUAGUAGUGGGGGAUAACUACUCGAAAGAGUGGCUAAUACCGCAUGAGAUCUACGGAUGAAAGCAGGGGAUCGCAAGACCUUGUGCUACUAGAGCGGCCGAUGGCAGAUUAGGUAGUUGGUGGGAUAAAAGCUUACCAAGCCAACGAUCUGUAGCUGGUCUGAGAGGACGAUCAGCAACACUGGGAAUGAGAAACGGCCCAGACUCCUACGGGAGGCAGCAGUGGGGAAUUUUGGACAAUGGGCGCAAGCCUGAUCCAGCAAUGCCGCGUGCAGGAUGAAGGCCUUCGGGUUGUAAACUGCUUUUGUACGGAACGAAAAGCCCCGGGUUAAUACCCUGGGGUCAUGACGGUACCGUAAGAAUAAGCACCGGCUAACUACGUGCCAGCCGCCGCCGUAA